GGGCCUGUAGCUCAUCUGGUAGAGCGCAGCAUUCGCAUUGCUGAGGUAAGGGGUUCGAGUCCCCUCAGGUCCACUA
rnacentral:tRNA from 1 species